rnacentral:rRNA from 1 species
AAAGGAAAAAAAAAAAAUGGUUCCAGGGUGUGGGGGGGAAAGACCCCCCCCAAGCCAAAAGCCCCCUAGGUUGUUGGAAGAGGUUUUCCCCCCACCUGGGAAUUGGAACCCGGUCCCAGAUUCUUACGGGAGGGCACCAGUGGGGAAUUUUGCACAAUGGGAGGAAACUUUGGAUGCAGCAACGCCGCGGUGAAGGAUGACGCAUUUCGGGGUGUAAACUCCUUUUUAUAUGGGAAGAUAAUGACGGUACCAUAUGAAUAAGCACCGGCUAACUCCGUGCCAGCAGCCGCGGUAAUACGGAGGGUGCAAGCGUUACUCGGAAUCACUGGGCGUAAAGCGCGCGCAGGCGGCCUGAUAAGUUGGAUGUGAAAGCCUACGGCCCAACCGUAGAACUGCAUCCAAAACUGUCAGGCUAGAGUGUGGGAGAGGAAGAUGGAAUUAGUUGUGUAGGGGUAAAAUCCGUAGAGAUAACUAGGAAUACCAAAAGCGAAGGCAAUCUUCUGGAACACUACUGACGCUGAGGCGCGAAAGCGUGGGGGGCAAACGGGAUUAGAUACCCCGGUAGUCCACGCAGUAAACGAUGAAUGUUAGUCGUCGGGUAGCUAGUCUAUUCGGUGAUGCAGCUAACGCAUUAAACAUUCCGCCUGGGGAGUACGGUCGCAAGAUUAAAACUCAAAGGAAUAGACGGGGACCCGCACAAGUGGUGGAGCAUGUGGUUUAAUUCGAAGAUACGCGAAGAACCUUACCUAGCCUUGACAUAUAUUAGAAUCUUUCAGAGAUGAGAGAGUGCCUUCGGGAGCUUUUAUACAGGUGCUGCACGGCUGUCGUCAGCUCGUGUCGUGAGAUGUUGGGUUAAGUCCCGCAACGAGCGCAACCCUCGUCACUAGUUACUAACGGUUCGGCCGAGGACUCUAGUGAGACUGCCUUCGCAAGGAGGAGGAAGGUGAGGACGACGUCAAGUCAUCAUGGCCCUUACGGCUAGGGCAACACACGUGCUACAAUGGUUGGGACAAUGAGACGCGAUACCGCGAGGUGGAGCAAAUCUAUAAACCCAAUCUCAGUUCGGAUUGUUCUCUGCAACUCGAGAGCAUGAAGCUGGAAUUACUAGUAAUCGUAGAUCAGCUAUGCUACGGUGAAUACGUUCCCGGGUCUUGUACUCACCGCCCGUCACACCAUGGGAGUUGAUUUCACCCGAAGCGGGGAGGCUAAACUGGCUACCCUCCACGGUGGAAUUAGCGACUGGGGUGAAGUCGUAACAAGGUACC